UUUUUAUAGAUAUAAAUAUUAAUAAAAAAUGCUCACAGAAUUUUCUCUAGCCGCAAUAUUAUUGUGCUAAGGUAGCAUAAUCAUUUGUUUUUUAAUUAAAGACUAGAAUGAAAGAUUUAACUUUUAAAUUUCUUUAUUAAAAAAUAAUUUAAAUUUAUUUUAAUUUUCAAAAAUCAAUUAUAAAAAAAAAAGACGACAAGACCCUAUUGAACUUAACUUCAGUUAAACUGGGGAAGUUUAUUAAAUAUCAUCUUAAUAUUUUUAUAUAUAUAUAUAUAUAUAUAUAUAUAUAUAUAUAUAUAUACAUAAAUUAAAAAUGAUCCAAAAUAUUUGAUUACAUAAUCAAGUUACCAUAGGGAUAACAGAAUAAUAAAAUUUAAAAGAUCUUAUUUAAAAUUUUGUUUUAUCACCUCGAUGUUAAAUAAUUAAUCUAUUAUAUGUAAAAAUAAAAAAAAAAAGUGUGUUCCUUUUUAAAACAUUUACG
rnacentral:rRNA from 1 species